rnacentral:rRNA from 1 species
UACGAAGGGAGCUAGCGUUGUUCGGAAUCAUUGGGCGUAAAGAGCGUGUAGGCGGCCCGAUAAGUCCGCUGUGAAAGUCCAGGGCUCAACCCUCGAAUGCCGGUGGAUACUGUCGGGCUAGAGUGCGGAGGAGGCGAGUGGAAUUCCUGGUGUAGCGGUGAAAUGCGCAGAUAUCGGGAGGAACACCAGUGGCGAAGGCGACUACCUGGCCUGUUCUUGACGCUGAGGCGCGAAAGCUAGGGGAGCAAACGGG